UGAGUUACCCUCAUAGUACUUGGCAGCAUAUAUUGGAAAGAAUACAGAGAAAAUUAGCCUGACCUCUGCACAAGAAAGACAUAAAAUUUAUGAGGUAUUUCAUAUUUAA